AGGUCAAGCUCAGCAAAAUGGUGAAAUCUGGGACGUAUGGCACUCCCAGUUUCUAGGGCACAUGGCAUAAUUUUAUGAGAUGUUUAUGUCACCGGGUUUUUCCACCAGGGAGAUUUUUACUCCCAGCCUUCUCAGCUGUGAGAUAGAAGGCUUUUGUUCCUUGUUAAAUGGAUUUCAGUGUUUGUCAAGCAGGUGGGGAGGUGCAGGGAGAUGCAUUUGGUGGUUACAGUGACCACAUUUUCUGAGUCAAAAAUCAGGACACAUAGUUUUGAUGUGAUCUCACAGUAGCACAG
rnacentral:lncRNA from 10 species